rnacentral:rRNA from 1 species
UCGAGCGGACAGAUGGGAGCUUGCUCCCUGAUGUUAGCGGCGGACGGGUGAGUAACACGUGGGUAACCUGCCUGUAAGACUGGGAUAACUCCGGGAAACCGGGGCUAAUACCGGAUGGUUGUUUGAACCGCAUGGUUCAGACAUAAAAGGUGGCUUCGGCUACCACUUACAGAUGGACCCGCGGCGCAUUAGCUAGUUGGUGAGGUAACGUCUCACCAAGGCUACGAUGCGUAGCCGACCUGAGAGGGUGAUCGGCCACACUGUUACUGAGACACCCCCCAUACUCC